rnacentral:lncRNA from 1 species
GGCCUCCAUCUUGAAAACGGAAAAUAAAAACAGCAGACCUAUGAAGGUCGAAGGGGAAGAAAAGCUGUAUCGAUUGUUGAGAUCUGGCGACUUGUUUAAAUUUCAUCAGCCUCACUUCUAUGAACUCUCAGGACAAACUGCAAAAGAGUCGCAUCGAGUUGAGACUUCUCCAAGGGCCAUGGGGUUGACAUCUGUAUUCUCAGGCCUCAUGUGUACCAGCUCUCUGCUCUCCUUUGCCUUGGGACGUUCCAUCCCUGGAAGUUUCCCUGCCCACAUCUUUGUAGAGAGUCCAUUCUCCAAGCUUCAGUGUGUCAUCUGUGAGGACUGUGACCAACCUGGUACAUCGCCUCAGGGCAUUCAUUUCAGGCUCCUUCUAAAUGGUCAAGGUAAACCUCAGGUUCUCCUCCUGCCUUUUGCUAAGUAUAUGUCUUGAUGACAAGCCUUCUGCUGAUGAGCUGUGUUUCUGGACCGAUCAUGGUAGAAGUCAAUUAACGUGUCCCUCACUUGGGGUUUCUCAAGGCUGCACUGAUGAGGAAACUGAAACAGAAAAUCCAGAGUAAAUUCCACCAGGCCACACAGCAAGGUCUGAUAGAGCCAGGAGAGACUUUAUGAAAUCCAGACUCUCACACUAAUGCUCUAUCAGCUAGACCUCCAUGUGAGUCUCCCCAAUGUAGGUAGGAAGUGCUUU